GAUGAACGCUGGCGGCGUGCUUAACACAUGCAAGUCGAACGGGGAACCUUUUAUUGAAGCUUCGGCAGAUUUAGCUGGUUUCUAGUGGCGGACGGGUGAGUAACGCGUGGGUAACCUGCCUUAUACAGGUGGAUAACAGUCAGAAAUGGCUGCUAAUACCGCAUAAGCGCACAGAGCUGCAUGGCUCAGUGUGAAAAACUCCGGUGGUAUAAGAUGGACCCGCGUUGGAUUAGCUGGUUGGUGGGGUAACGGCCCACCAAGGCGACGAUCCAUAGCCGGCCCGAGAGGGUGAACGGCCACAUUGGGACUGAGACACGGCCCAGACUCCUACGGGAGGCAGCAGUGGGGAAUAUUGCACAAUGGGGGAAACCCCGAUGCAGCGACGCCGCGUGAAGGAAGAAGUAUCUCGGUAUGUAAACUUCUAUCAGCAGGGAAGAUAAUGACGGUACCUGACUAAGAAGCCCCGGCUAACUACGUG
rnacentral:rRNA from 1 species